GCAUACCCAACUUGAAACACAAUGAAUGAAACAACAUAACAAAGCAAAACAGCAGCAUAUCAGCAACAUCAGUUUGUUCCCGCAAUAUAAAACGGAAUAACCAAAUCGGGCCCCAAAGCAUGAAAAACCAGACCCACAUGGGACCAAAACACCGUCAGAAAUCAGCGACGCAGCAAACAAGGACCCACGUGAGGCUGCAAAUUACAUUAAAACCAGCUGAAGCACAACAACCCACAAUAACGUGGGGAUGUGCAGUAAUCAGCAACAAUUAGCCCAUGUGGGCGCACCCAAAAAACAGCCAGUAAUCAGAGUGAGUAGAAUCCGUGGGACCCAAAAGUCACUCACUCAAACAAAUUAACAGCAGCCAAAACAGGAAAAAAAUGGUGCACCAAGGACACAAAGUAAGACACUCUGCCCCACCACCAAGAACAGCAGCAAUGUGCGACCAAAUGCACAAAGACCCUCGAGCAAAGAGCAAAAAAUCCCAUGCAUCAAUGGGCUAGCAGCAGGAAAUGACAAGGCCAUGUGCCAACCCCACAUGACUGCACCCAUGUGAGAACAAACAAAAUCAGCUAUAAAUUAAUGGCAAUAACAUGGCUUCCAAAAAGAGCACAACUUGGGCAACCCCACUUGGAAAAUGAAUGAGUAAAACUAGGAAACUGCCCCCAACCAAGUACAAAUCAGCAUGGGUACAAGAAUGAGCACCAUGUGAAGCCACCCAUACACAUUAAGAAGCACUAAAAGUCCAAAGUUGAGAAUACAACCGUGUGCAGCCACCAAAACAAUGAAGACAAACUGCAAAACGCAGCGGAAAACACCAUGAUUUCCGAUAGAAAACACCAUGAUUUCCGACCACAAGGUCAAGAAACCCAAACAUAAAAAUCUUCCUGCAAAAAUCCCCAGCAAACUGGGAGCAUAAAACUCCCCCUCAAAUGCAACUUUAGCUAAAGGGCAUUAAAGUGCAUUUGGAAGAGAUUCCCAGGCACAAUGUAACCUAGAAGGGACAAAGGGAUCACAACGGAUGCAAGCAACAAAGUGGAUGGCAGUUGUAGCUCAUGAGUAAAACAGCCCAAGUGGGUGGACUAAGCAACAAAGUAGCUGAAAAAUGCUUCCAAACCCUAAACCCAUGUGAGCACAAGCAAAAUCAGCUAUAAAUUACUAGCAAUAACGUGGCUGCCAAAAACAGCACAACUUGGGCAACCCCACUUGGAAAAUCAACAAGUAAAACUAGGAAACUGCCACCCACCAAGUACAAAUCAGCAUGGGCACAAGAAUGAGCACCAUGUGCAACCACCCAUACACAUUAAGAUGCAUUAAAAGUCCAAAGUUGAGAAUACAACCGUGUGCAGCCACCAAAACAAUUUAGACGAACUGCAAACGCAGCGGAAAACACCAUAAUUUCCGAUAGAAAACACCAUGAUUUCCGACCACAAGGUCAAGAAACCCAAAUGUAAAAAUCUUCCUGCAAAAACCCCCAGCAAACUGGGAGCAUAAAACUCCCCCUCAAAUGCAACUUUAGCUAAAGGGCAUUAAAGUGCAUUUGGAAGAGACUCCCAGGCACAAUGUAACCUAGAAGGGACAAAGGGAUCACAGCAGAUGCAAGCAACAAAGUGGAUGGCAGUUGUAGCUCAUGAGUAAAACAGCCCAAGUGGCGUGGACUAAGUAACAAAGUAGCUGAAAAAUCAGCAAAUGAGCUGCUAACUAAAGUCCAACAAUCAGCCACAAGGAAGUGAGAGUAGC
rnacentral:lncRNA from 1 species